rnacentral:rRNA from 1 species
CCUACGGGUGGCAGCAGUGGGGAAUAUUGCGCAAUGGGCGAAAGCCUGACGCAGCGACGCCGCGUGAGGGAUGAAGGUCUUCGGAUCGUAAACCUCUGUCAGCAGGGAAGAACGGUCACUGUGCUAAUCAGCAGUGAAUUGACGGUACCUGCAAAGGAAGCACCGGCUAACUCCGUGCCAGCAGCCGCGGUAAUACGGAGGGUGCGUGCGUUAAUCGGAAUUACUGGGCGUAAAGCGCUCGUAGGCGGUAUGUCAAGUCAAGGGUGAAAUCCCCGCGCUCAACGUGGGAACUGCCUUUGAAACUGGCAAACUGGAGUGUGUGAGAGGAUAGUGGAAUUCCAGGUGUAGGAGUGAAAUGCGUAGAUAUCUGGAGGAACAUCAGUGGCGAAGGCGACUAUCUGGCACAUAACUGACGCUGAGGAGCGAAAGCGUGGGUAGCAAACAGGAUUAGAUACCCGGGUAGUC